AAAAUUCUUUUCUUUACAAAUGUUGAAGUUUAGUGGCAGCACUGCCUCUGCUCCCCGGUCCCAGCCUCAAGCAGCCCUGAGGAUGGGCUGCCCUUGGUGGCAACUGUGGGUGGGCUGCUGGUGCUGGACACGCACAGGCAGAAAGUGCUGUUCCACUCACUGUUCUGGAGUGCUGAGCCAUGGUGGUGUUAGUGCAGCAUUUCCUGUGUUACAUCUGCAAGGAAUACGUAAAGGAUCUGGCCAAAAUCCCCAAGAGUUUCUUACAAAAAGCAAAUGUCACCCUCAUGGUGAUUGGACAGUCAUCCUAUCAUCAUAUAGAGCCUUUUUUGCAAACUGACUGGAUAUUCUCAUAAAAUGUAUGUCGAUACUAAGAGGGAAAUUUAUAUAAGAUUGGGAAUGAAAAGAGGUGCAGAAAUUGCUUUCUCAGGACAGAGUCCCCACAUAAAUUCAAAUCUACUCUCAGAAGCCUUCAGAACCUGUGAUAGGCAGUAACUGGAACUCUCUUUGAUUCUCAAGGAGGCCCAUUUCAGCAAGGUGAAACUCUCAUUUUAGGUCCAUGUAACAACAUUCAUUUUUAUACACUGUGAUAGGAAUAGGUUGGAUCACAAACCUAUCAACUCUAUUUUACAGCUUGUAGGAGUUCAGCAUUUGAACUUUACAAACAAACAGUCUUUCAGUUAUCCAUGUAUGACUUAACAUGGAAUCAGUCACUUUCAACUGGACUUUCUGGAAUGUGACCUUCAAUGCUGGGCUGUAAUAUCCUUGUACAGUGUCUAACUUGCUGUCCCUUCCCAGCCUUUGAGGACUUAGGGAAGCAUAAAGAGCCCUUGAACCAGUUGAACUGCCUGCUGAGAAGCAUCAGUUGUCAAAAAUGUAAUACAUACUUCCAUUUUAUAGCUUUUAAAAUGUUAUACAAAAUAACAAAAAUGAAUAUACAAAAUAUAACUUUAAAAGCUAUAAAACCAUAAUUACCAUUUAAAGUAUUUUACGUUAUGGUAUAUUCAGUCUUGAAAGAUUUUUUGGCAAUUAAUAUAAAUUCUGAUAAAGAAUAUAUAAAGGGAGGGGAGAUACACAAGACCAUUGUAUUCAGUGAAAAAAGCAAAAUAUCAAAUUCUGUCAACAAUAUAACAGCAUUUUUAUAUGUAUAUGUUUGUUUGUAUUUUUGUAUGCUUAGGGAAAAGACAGAAAAUAAACACCAAAAUGUUGCUAGUA